rnacentral:rRNA from 2 species
GGGUUGUGAGGUUAAGCGACUAAGCGUACACGGUGGAUGCCCUGGCAGUCAGAGGCGAUGAAGGGCGUGCUAAUCUGCGAUAAGCGCCGGUAAGGUGAUAUGAACCGUUAUAACCGGCGAUACCCGAAUGGGGAAACCCAGUGUGACUCGUCACACUAUCAUUAACUGAAUCCAUAGGUUAAUGAGGCGAACCGGGGGAACUGAAACAUCUAAGUACCCCGAGGAAAAGAAAUCAACCGAGAUUCCCCCAGUAGCGGCGAGCGAACGGGGAGGAGCCCAGAGCCUGAAUCAGCAUGUGUGUUAGUGGAAGCGUCUGGAAAGGCGCGCGAUACAGGGUGACAGCCCCGUACACAAAAGCGCAUGUGCUGUGAGCUCGAUGAGUAGGGCGGGACACGUGGUAUCCUGUCUGAAUAUGGGGGGACCAUCCUCCAAGGCUAAAUACUCCUGACUGACCGAUAGUGAACCAGUACCGUGAGGGAAAGGCGAAAAGAACCCCGGCGAGGGGAGUGAAAAAGAACCUGAAACCGUGUACGUACAAGCAGUGGGAGCCCCACCACUAAGCCAGUGGUGAACUCCACAUACGCAUCCUUUGCUGAGGAUACGGUUAACGGAGCGCAAGCGACGUUCAACCGCAAAAGAAGCAGAGGGGGCUUAGUGGUGGGGUGACUGCGUACCUUUUGUAUAAUGGGUCAGCGACUUAUAUUCUGUAGCAAGGUUAACCGUAUAGGGGAGCCGGAGGGAAACC